AUUUUGAAUAAAUAUAACAAUUACAUACAUACAUUGAUAAAUUUUGAUAUUUUAGCAGGAAUAUUACAAAGAUUUGUAUGAGUUCUAUUUUAUAUUUUUGUCAAUAUUAUUAUAUUAAUCAGUCUGCAUAUUGGCUCAUAUCAGCUAAAAAAAAGAUUUGGUCUAAAAUGAUGAUUCAUGUAGUAUUGAUAAAAUCCUCUCUGAUAUCAUUUAUCAUUUUAGUAGAUUUACCAUUAUUAAUGCAUAUUAGGUUUUUAUCAAGGAGUUGGCAAUGGAGGACUAGUAUCCCAUUCCACACCCUUUGCUUCUGACAUCAGUUAUCGAUAUGUUUGUAUUUAGAAAUGAAAUAUUCAAUAUCUGUCUACACACUAUAGGUGAUAUAGUGUACUAAGAGGAUCAAAAAUAUUUCUAUUAAUAAAUAAUUUUAUCCUGUUUAAGAGUUUUGUAUAGUAGUGAAUUUAAAAAUAAUUAAAUUAUUACUACAAAAAAUUUUGCAAUUUUUAUAAAAAUUUUAUGCAAUUUUUUCAUUGCUGUUUUCUGAAAAUGUAUCAUGAAACUAUUAAUUAUUUUU
rnacentral:lncRNA from 1 species